rnacentral:rRNA from 1 species
CAGGUGGUGCAUGGUUGUCGUCAGCUCGUGUCGUGAGAUGUUGGGUUAAGUCCCGCAACGAGCGCAACCCUUAAGCUUAGUUGCCAUCAUUAAGUUGGGCACUCUAAGUUGACUGCCGGUGACAAACCGGAGGAAGGUGGGGAUGACGUCAAAUCAUCAUGCCCCUUAUGAUUUGGGCUACACACGUGCUACAAUGGACAAUACAAAGGGCAGCGAAACCGCGAGGUCAAGCAAAUCCCAUAAAGUUGUUCUCAGUUCGGAUUGUAGUCUGCAACUCGACUACAUGAAGCUGGAAUCGCUAGUAAUCGUAGAUCAGCAUGCUACGGUGAAUACGUUCCCGGGUCUUGUACACACCGCCCGUCACACCACGAGAGUUUGUAACACCCGAAGCCGGUGGAGUAACCUUUUAGGAGCUAGCC